rnacentral:lncRNA from 1 species
GUGGACGAUGCCAACGACGACGAUGACGGAAUGUAUUAUCGCUUUAUCUUGCUUUCGACAAAAUUCGAAUGCUCGACAAAAAUGAGGUCCAUGUCGAAUCAAAUAGAACCUUAAGCUUGCGAAUGGACAAUUGAGUAUAAAUUUGCAUUUUUUUAUUAGUUAUUUGGUAUCAGUAACCGCGAGUACUCGCAGUUCAGAGUCAUUCUGUUGUGCGGAUUUAUAAGUUGAUUGACAUAUCCACACUUUUUUUGCUAGAUAUAAUUCUAUUUGUAUCAAUAUGAAGAGUUAAGCCUUUUUCAACUAAUUUUUAUGGUUUUUCUUAUUUUUACAAUCAUUCUAUACAACAAUUAUAGUUAACAUAUUGCUUAGAGUAUAGGAGAUACGGACUGAUCCAUGAAAUCUGUAUCUGACGGUACGUGUAUACGUUGCUAGGAACGCAUAUAUAAAGUUAUAGAUCAGGGCUUCACUUAACAAAAAAAGCUGGGUUUUUAAAGCAUUCACUGAACCAUGUGAAUGAGAUCAAGGGCUUUGGACAUAUAACAGACAGAAACUUCGUUACACACAUUAUCUCAUACAAGUAUGAAGCAUUCAGGUCUUCUACAUUUGGAAAUUUCAAGCUUUAAACAAAUAGUUUACGGCGUUGUCGUCGCUGUGUCUUUCGUCGCAGGCGAGGCAUAAAAAAUAAGUUAACAUGACAAAAAUUUGACGCUUUUGAGAAGUUAUUGUCCUUGAAGGAUGGCCUUUACAAAAUGUUUGCGAAACUUAAAAACUAUAUUAAGCUCUUCAACUAUUUACUUGUUUGGCUUAUAAAUAUUUUGAUAUGCGCGUCACUGAUGAGUCUUAUGUAAAUGAAACGCGCGUCUGGCGUACUAAAUUAUAAUCCUAGUACUUUUGAUAACUUUUGAUAGAGGAGCAUUUGUUUAAUCAACAACAAUAUAGGUCACUUGAUGGAUAUUGUCAAUUUAACCAUAUAGCAAUUAUUGCCCUCGAUAGACAAUUGUACCUUGUUUACAGUUUUAGCAGAAAGUAUAUGGAUAUUGUCAAUUUAACAAUAUAGCAAUUGUUGCCCUUGAUAGACAAUUGUACCUUGUUAACUGUUUUAGCAGGAGGUAUAUAAACUCAUCAUAGAUACCAGGACUAAAUUUUGUAUAUACGCCAGACGCGCGUUUCGUCUACAAAAGACUCAUCAGUGACGCUCGAAUCCAAAAAAGUUGAAAAAAAACCCAAAUAAAGUACAAAGUUGAAGAGCAUUGAGAUCCAAAAUUCUUAAAAGUGUUGCCAAAUACAGUUAAGGUAAUCUAUGCCUGAGGUAAAAAAAGCCUUAUUAUUUCAAAAAAUUCAAAAUUUUGUAAACAGUUAAUUUGUAAAUAUAACAAUAUCAAUGAUAAUUCAUGUCAGCACAAAAAGUGCUGACUACUAUGCUUGUGAUACCCUCGGGGAAAUAAAUCUCAACCAGCAGUGGCAUCGACCCAGUGGUUGUAAAUAAACUCAUCAUAGAUACC